rnacentral:lncRNA from 1 species
GAAACAGAAGUAUAUUAGUAUAUUAUUUGCAUAAAAAGCUCCCUUCUUAGUCACUGGUAUUUUUCAGUAUCAGGUAGUACUGUAUUUUGUCUUGAGAAUGAUCUGGAAUACAAAAAUCUUGUGAUUACUUUGCUCUAUUUCACAUUUUUCCUUACUGAAGAGUGAGUGGUUGCAGCAGCAUCCUGGGUCAGGCAUUUGAAGGGCUGGGGAAGUGGCAGGGCUUACCACCUGACUACCAUGAGGAUGAUGCAGAGAACCUUCCAGAACACCCACUUCUGCUUGUCACCAGGAUACUGCAGGAACUGAAGCCAGCCACAGUCAGGUGUUCUCUGCCCAGUCCUGCCACUGGCCUGGGGCCACUGUGGGGGUGACCCAGUGCAGCUGCUGUGAGGGCCUGCCACAGCACCUGAGGGAUGAUGGCCCACCCCUGGCAAGUGCAGUCCAGCUGGGACCACUGUGCUCACUGGUUGCUGUCCUCCCUGAGUGCCUCGGCCUUCCCUAUAGGACAGUCCUGCAAGGCUAAGAUGGCUUCUUUGCACAUCUGGAAAAGAAUUACCGCAUUUUCACCGGGGAUACUGCACUCUAC